GAGAGGAGAGGAGAGGAGAAGAGAAGAGAAGAGAAGAGAAGAGAAGAGAAGAGAAGAGAAGAGAAGAGAAGAGAAGAGAAGAGAAGAGAAGAGAAGAGAAGAGAAGAGGGGUAUGGUGACCAAGUAUUUCAAAAAGGAAUCACACAGAUUUAGAUAAAAACAGAGCCAAGAAAGUCUAUUGAAGUAUAUGGAGACUUAUAUCAGGCCAUCCUGAAUUCAAAUUUGCCCUUUGUCACCUUCUACAAGUCAAAAUCAUGGCUCCUCAUCUAAAAAUGGGACAGAAAUAGCAACUAUUUAUAAGGAUGAAUAAACAAAGAUCCUUUUUAGUUGUUCUGUAAAUGAGAAGUAGCUAUACUAGCGAUGCUUGUUCUUGUGGACAAGAUGGAUAAAUAUGGGCUAGAAGGAAGUAAUCAUUCUAUGCUCUGUGCUGAUUACGGUACACUUGGAGUGUGGGUCCGGUUCUGGGAUUUACACUUCAAAAGGGACAUAGAAAAGCUGGAGCAAGUUCAGAAGAGAGCUACCGGUAUAAUAAGGGAACGGGAACAAGCCAUCAAAGGAACAAUCAAAGGCAUGUUUAGAGAAUAUAUAUGAGAAAACUAUGAUAACAUCCUGCAAAAGUUGUCACAUGUAAGAAGGUGCUGAUGAGGUCUAAAACAUCAUUGCAGAUGGCUGAACACUUUACCGAGGUAUUCCGGAUGAAGCGUGGCCUUAUUUCCUUUUACAUUUCUAUCUCUUACUUAUUAUUUUUACUUCCCAGGGCAAUCAUGUUCAUGUAACAAGUAACAAAAAAGGGUCAUCAUGUAUAUUAUAAUAUACAUUAUAAUGUUUCAUGAUUUAUCUUGUAUGUUUCCCAAGAGAAUUGAAGGCAUAUACAAUUAAAAAGAAAACCAAAGCCUCUCUUCAAAGUUGGAGAAUUGAACUUUUAUUGAUUGAUUGAUUGAUUGAUAAAUCAAUCUAACUAACCAACUGACCUCUCAGUUUGUUUUUGCUUUAUGAAGAACUUCCCCUCCAGUAAUAACAACAAAAUAAAUGGUAAAA